CAGUAUUGUUGGUUUGAUUUGAUGACCAGUGUUAAAAUUUAAUAUGGAGAAAAUUAUACUAUUUACAAAAAGUCAUUGGAAAAAAUUGAGUAUCGCAUCAAUUCCAGUUGUGUAUGGAAUUAUCUACAUUAAAAAUGAAUAUCAAAUUUCUAGGCACAUGAGAUAUAUUUGCAAUGAGGUUAACAAGCAUUCCAUUCCAAAGCCUACUAAUGUUCUUGUAGUUUUGAAUCCUGUUGCUAAUAAGAAGAGUUGCGAAAAAAUGGUGUGCUGCUACACGUUCAAUAUACAGUGGCUCCAACGAAUAAUCGGACAAGAUUUUGUCUGAUGUAAAUGUGCUCUAAACAUCAAAAUAAUGCACAAAAAAAAUAUUUUUUUUAACAAAAAUUACUAGUUGGAAUUUAGGUAUAAGCAGGUUAAUCAAAAAUGGCCAAAACAAAUCGUUGCUGAUUUAUUACGGGAAAACUACAAUUUAAUUUUAAUAAAAAUUACUAGUUGGAAUUUAGGUAUAAGAAGGUUAAUACCUAAAUAAGAAGGAUAAUACCUAAAUAAGAAGGUUAAUGCUAAAAAUCGUGUGAAUGUUUCCAGAAAAAAAUGGGAUCCUCCAAAAUGGCAAAAAAAAAAAAACGUUGCUGAUUUAUUCUCUUAAUAUUCACAUUGAUCUUGAUUUAUACCGUUUAUUUAUUUAAAAUUUUAUUUUUGUGGUGAAAAAAAUGUCAAAACAAUAGAAUUUUCAAUAAAAUUUAAGAAAAUGUGAGUAUUUAUACAUUUUAAAAGGAAUAAAAUAAGAAAAUUGUGUGUAUAAAACAA